GUUUGCAGGGAUGGCUGAUCAGGGCUUUUGUACCUAUCUGGGUGACUGCCAUGGGGUGAGAGCCAGCCCUGGUAUCCAAGUGAGU